rnacentral:rRNA from 1 species
GACGGUACUUGAGGAAUAAGCCACGGCUAAUUCCGUGCCAGCAGCCGCGGUAAUACGGGAGUGGCAAGCGUUAUCCGGAAUUAUUGGGCGUAAAGCGUCCGCAGGCGGCCCUUCAAGUCUGCUGUUAAAACGUGGAGCUUAACUCCAUCAUGGCAGUGGAAACUGUUGGGCUUGAGUGUGGUAGGGGCAGAGGGAAUUCCCGGUGUAGCGGUGAAAUGCGUAGAUAUCGGGAAGAACACCAGUGGCGAAGGCGCUCUGCUGGGCCAUAACUGACGCUCAUGGACGAAAGCCAGGGGAGCGAAAGGGAUUAGAUACCCCUGUAGUCCUGGCCGUAAACGAUGAACACUAGGUGUCGGGGGAAUCGACCCCCUCGGUGUCGUAGCCAACGCGUUAAGUGUUCCGCCUGGGGAGUACGCACGCAAGUGUGAAACUCAAAGGAAUUGACGGGGGCCCGCACAAGCGGUGGAGUAUGUGGUUUAAUUCGAUGCAACGCGAAGAAUCUUACCAGGGUUUGACAUCCUGCGAACCUCUUGGAAACGAGAGGGUGCCUUCGGGAGCGCAGUGACAGGUGGUGCAUGGCUGUCGUCAGCUCGUGUCGUGAGAUGUUGGGUUAAGUCCCGCAACGAGCGCAACCCACGUCUUUAGUUGCCAGCAUUUAGUUGGGCACUCUAGAGAGACCGCCGGUGAUAAACCGGAGGAAGGUGUGGAUGACGUCAAGUCAUCAUGCCCCUUACAUCCUGGGCUACACACGUACUACAAUGCUACGGACAAAGAGCAGCAAGUUCGCGAGGACAAGCAAAUCUCAUAAACCGUGGCUCAGUUCAGAUCGUAGGCUGCAACUCGCCUACGUGAAGGAGGAAUCGCUAGUAAUCGCAGGUCAGCAUACUGCGGUGAAUACGUUCCCGGGCCUUGUACACACCGCCCGUCACACCAUGGAAGUUGGCCACGCCCGAAGCCGUUACUCCAACCCUUGUGGAGGAGGACGUCGAAGGUGGGGCUGAUGACUGGGGUG